UCAUCUUCGGGGGUAGAGCACUGUUUCGGCUAGGGGGUCAUCCCGACUUACCAACCCGAUGCAAACUACGAAUACCGAAGAAUGUUAUCACGGGAGACACACGGCGGGUGCUAACGUCCGUCGUGAAGAGGGAAACAACCCAGACCGCCAGCUAAGGUCCCAAAGUCAUGGUUAAGUGGGAAACGAUGUGGGAAGGCACAGACAGCCAGGAUGUUGGCUUAGAAGCAGCCAUCAUUUAAAGAAAGCGUAAUAGCUCACUGGUCGAGUCGGCCUGCGCGGAAGAUGUAACGGGGCUAAACCAUGCACCGAAGCUGCGGCAGCGACACUAUGUGUUGUUGGGUAGGGGAGCGUUCUGUAAGCCUGCGAAGGUGACCUGUGAGGGUUGCUGGAGGUAUCAGAAGUGCGAAUGCUGACAUAAGUAACGAUAAAGCGGGUGAAAAGCCCGCUCGCCGGAAGACCAAGGGUUCCUGUCCAACGUUAAUCGGGGCAGGGUGAGUCGACCCCUAAGGCGAGGCCGAAAGGCGUAGUCGAUGGGAAACAGGUUAAUAUUCCUGUACUUGGUGUUACUGCGAAGGGGGGACGGAGAAGGCUAUGUUAGCCGGGCGACGGUUGUCCCGGUUUAAGCAUGUAGGCUGGUUAUCCAGGCAAAUCCGGAUAAUCAAGGCUGAGGUGUGAUGACGAGGCACUACGGUGCUGAAGUAACAAAUGCCCUGCUUCCAGGAAAAGCCUCUAAGCAUCAGGUAACAUCAAAUCGUACCCCAAACCGACACAGGUGGUCAGGUAGAGAAUACCAAGGCGCUUGAGAGAACUCGGGUGAAGGAACUAGGCAAAAUGGUGCCGUAACUUCGGGAGAAGGCACGCUGGUGUGUAGGUGAAGUCCCUGCGGAUGGAGCUGAGACCAGUCGAAGAUACCAGCUGGCUGCAACUGUUUAUUAAAAACACAGCACUGUGCAAACACGAAAGUGGACGUAUACGGUGUGACGCCUGCCCGGUGCCGGAAGGUUAAUUGAUGGGGUUAUCCGUAAGGAGAAGCUCUUGAUCGAAGCCCCGGUAAACGGCGGCCGUAACUAUAACGGUCCUAAGGUAGCGAAAUUCCUUGUCGGGUAAGUUCCGACCUGCACGAAUGGCGUAAUGAUGGCCAGGCUGUCUCCACCCGAGACUCAGUGAAAUUGAACUCGCUGUGAAGAUGCAGUGUACCCGCGGCAAGACGGAAAGACCCCGUGAACCUUUACUAUAGCUUGACACUGAACAUUGAGCCUUGAUGUGUAGGAUAGGUGGGAGGCUUUGAAGCGUGGACGCCAGUCUGCGUGGAGCCAACCUUGAAAUACCACCCUUUAAUGUUUGAUGUUCUAACGUUGGCCCCUUACCGGGGUUGCGGACAGUGUCUGGUGGGUAGUUUGACUGGGGCGGUCUCCUCCCAAAGCGUAACGGAGGAGCACGAAGGUUAGCUAAUCCUGGUCGGACAUCAGGAGGUUAGUGCAAUGGCAUAAGCUAGCUUGACUGCGAGCGUGACGGCGCGAGCAGGUGCGAAAGCAGGUCAUAGUGAUCCGGUGGUUCUGAAUGGAAGGGCCAUCGCUCAACGGAUAAAAGGUACUCCGGGGAUAACAGGCUGAUACCGCCCAAGAGUUCAUAUCGACGGCGGUGUUUGGCACCUCGAUGUCGGCUCAUCACAUCCUGGGGCUGAAGUAGGUCCCAAGGGUAUGGCUGUUCGCCAUUUAAAGUGGUACGCGAGCUGGGUUUAGAACGUCGUGAGACAGUUCGGUCCCUAUCUGCCGUGGGCGCUGGAGAAUUGAGGGGGGCUGCUCCUAGUACGAGAGGACCGGAGUGGACGCAUCACUGGUGUUCGGGUUGUCAUGCCAAUGGCACUGCCCGGUAGCUAAAUGCGGAAGAGAUAAGUGCUGAAAGCAUCUAAGCACGAAACUUGCCCCGAGAUGAGUUCUCCCUGAGACUUUAAGUCUCCUGAAGGAACGUUAAAGACGAUGACGUUGAUAGGCCGGGUGUGUAAGCGCAGCGAUGCGUUGAGCUAACCGGUACUAAUGAACCGUGAGGCUUAACCUU
rnacentral:rRNA from 1 species